CUCAGAUUUAAAAGACACAAAUUAUAUACUUUGGGAUCGAGAUGUGAGCCCUCCUUAUCGUUUAUAAUUCAGGAGAUAUUUUCAUGCAGAAAGAGCACUGAAGUGUUGGGUGCAUCUCAGGUUUGUGCAGUGAGACUGGUUGAGAAAGCCCCCCUGUGCUAUCAGGCAAGCUGUGGGAAUGUUCUGACUCUGUUCCCAGGUUUCUGCCAGAGAUCUCCUGCAGUGCCAGUAUCUGCAUGUUUUCCUUGAUCUUCUCUUCAAAAGAUUUUGACUUGUGCUGACUGGUCUGCAUGGACUUCCACCUUGUUUCAGAGAAGUGAUCUUUAAGCUGGUUCCAGGCUUCUCUUUUUUUGGAAAGAAAGCACUUUCAAAAGCAUAAGCAUUCCAGAUUUGAUUUUGAUUAAAUAUUUGCAAACUUCUGUGAACAGGCAUUCUGGGAUAACAUCUGACCUUCUCUGCCUAUUCUUCAUCCUGCCACUGGCUUUGUGAGGUGGAACUUUAUGUCCUCCAGCCUCCAUGCUGGGUUUCUGCAUCUCUGGCUGGAGCCAUGUCUCUGCCUGCAGUGCCAGGCUCACAGACACCCCAGGCACCCCCAGAGUGCAUGCACCAGUCAGCUCUGCCCAGGCUGCCUCAGGACUCUGCUCAGGUGUCCAGGGUGGACUGUUCUGCACACUCCACCCUGCCAAGCCAUAACAUUCUCUUGCAGCAAUCAGUGAAUCUGUCUCUUUCUCCACUGAUCACAAAGGCAUUCCUUCUCACUGUGACUGCAGCACCAGCUGAUGAUGCUGGGCACUUUCUGCCCUGCCAUGGGGGAGAGAUGGGAGUAGAGAUCCUUGUAUACUUGUUCCCCUGAAAAUUCUAAAAAUUGAGAAAAUCUUUCCCUCCACCUCUUACUGGUGAGGAGAUGGGAAUAUAAGAAAUGUACUGGGCUAGGAAAUCAUCACCCAGAGUAGGAAAAUCAGAAAGAAAAAUUGCAAUUAUUAGGGUCUAAGAAUCACAAAAUACUCAUGCUGAUGCUGCAUCAGCAGCAACAGAACAAAGAAUGUAUUGUGCUGCCCACUUUUAUCAUACAGAGCAGUGAAGUCAUGCAGCAAAGCAACUGCUGCCACACAAAUUCAGCAAGGAAAGCCUCCAUGGCACAGCCCUUGUCAGGGUAUCCCUCCUGCUUUUCAGCUGUGACUGUGCUGGGCUAUGUGGUCUCCAGCUUGCUGCCAAAAUACAAAUACCUUAAGGUGAUUCAGUUGUUAGAGGUUGCCUCCUUCUGUCAGAAAAUAAAUGGGAUGCUCCUGCUGUCAUUCCCAGCAAA